rnacentral:lncRNA from 1 species
UUUGCAACCUGCGUAAGAGUUUGCUAAUGCCCCUGAUUUAUUAUAGAGGCUGAGAGAAACAGCUUUGCACAGCAGGAUAAGCAUGCUUUUGACUUGGUUCCAGGUAUGACAAUAGCUGAGAGCCAUCAAAAGUGGGAAGAAAAUAGCUGCCAACAGUUCUGUCUGACUUGGAUGAUCCUGAUUUUCUUCUUGCCCCGUCAAACCCUGCCCGCUCAGUCCUUUCUGAUGGAAUCGAGGACACAACGUCCUUCCGAGAGCAGCUUUUGUUUCUAUCAGCAUUUAAAUGUGCUUUCUUUGUAGGAUAUGCAGAGCCUUGGAAAGAGAACUCUCUCCUCUGCCUUCCUGAGCUUCUCCAAGAGGGAAUGCUGGGUCCUGAGCAUGGACAGCGUGCGGGAUGGAAAGGGGCUGGACCUCCGAGUUUCACAGAGUGGCAGCAGACAGCUGCAAUAUUAAUCAGAGACAAUAUUCAGAGACAAUAUUCAGAGACAAUAUUCAGGAAAGGUGUUUUUGAGGGAAAAGGUUUGCCAUUGGAAGUUUCUGAAGAAACACUGUCUCCUGCUCCCAGCUGUGGCAACUGGAAUGAGCAGAGCCAUCCUUUUGUUCCCUCCUCCCUGAAAAGGACAGGGGGAGGCCAGGACACCACCUUUAUCUGAAGGCUUAUAUUGAAUCUCUGAACAAGCAGUCCAUGAUUUUGAAGGAGAGGAUGAGAGCCUUUUCCCUUACUUGAGGAAUCUGCUCUUGAACUGAAGACCCCAGCUUUUAAAAGCCUGGAGUGGUGAUGUCUGUCUUUCAGAAACCUAUGCAGGUGUGUAGCUCAUUACUUUUGUACCCAAAGGCAUUUCUCCAUGUGUUUCUUCACUAAGACUCAAAAAAUUCCACACUGGAAUGCAAUAAUAUUGCUUAAGGAAACUGGAGAUAGGCUUGCCUUGAAAUCCUGUCCCCUCAUUGCUAGAAGUGCCUGGAGGUGUGUGCACUACCUGUCUUUAGAGUCAUAAUCUUUAUAAUCAUAAACUAUAGGGAGUUAUAAGCAGCCAUAAACAACCUGGACACACUAAAAACUGUGGAGGUGGAAAGGAUUUAAAGCUUCAGGAG